GGCGAGGACUACGGAGACACUGACGCGGAGCUCACGGACUCUGACCGUGGUGACCUGCCCGCGGUCCCAGCAACGGAC
rnacentral:SRP_RNA from 1 species